UUCCAGGGUCCGCGGGGGGUCCGCGGGGGGUCCGCUGUGUUCAGGUGCAGCUGCGGGGCUCAGACACACAAGUUGUUAUGAUUUCAGUCUGGUUCUGUGAAGACUUAAUGACUUGACACGCUUUGCUUAGAGACCUGAGUGUGUUUGUGUGUUUGUGUGUGUGAUUUCUGACCUCUCUGCUCCUCAGAGUUUCCUCUGCUUUCACCUUUGACCUUUUACUCCUGUUGUUUUCCCUGAUGAAGAGGCUUUUGGUUCAUUCUCAGGUCUGCUAGGCCUCCUAAUGAAGACUGAGCUGCUCUCUGACUUGUUGCUCUCCUCCUCCUCCUCCUCCUCCUCCUCCUCCUCCUCCAUGUGUGUUGUUAAUGAGUCAGCGCGAUUCGGCCUCCAGAACAUCGGUUAACGUGUUUCUGGGGGACCGGUCCAGGAAGUUGAGGUUCUGAUCCAGGAGUCAGUCUUGCUGGGUUCCAGCUGUUUGUUAUCAUACUCAAUACUGAAAAGGAAGAAACCCUCUCCACCUGCAUCAGCCACCAGAUUCUAGAAUUGUGGUCUGGGGCCAUACAAAUUCAUUCAGAGGGCCACAAUCGGCCCCCGGACCACACUUUGGACCAACAGGUCCGAUCCUCAACUUUGAACCGGGUUUGGAAAAGUGAGCAAAGUUCCUGCAAUAGAAGCUGAAAACUCUGUGAGGCUGUGAAGUCAAUAAAUAUGACCUUUGACCUGAGCUGCCACAAACGACUGACCUGAUUGGCCAGAAGGAGCCAAUCACAGAGCAGAUUGGUGAAAGUCGGAGAAGCCAAACCUUUGCAACCAGGCCGGAUGGUUUGGAUCAGAGUGGCUGCUCGGCACCGCAACGCCGUCUGGUUCUCGUCAGAAUCUUCAGCAUCGCCAUGGUUACCGCCUCCGUCUCCAUGACGAGCAUGUGAGCUGUCAUCAUGUCACGUUUUCACACCUGACCCAGAUUAGUCAGAACCGCCAAACCGUCUCUGAGGGACCGACCCGGGCCCAGCAGUCCGACAUCUUCAGACCUGGAAACAACUGGAAAACACCUGGAAACAACUGGAAAACACCUGGAAACACCAGGAAAAUACAUGGAAAUACCUGGAAACACCUGGAAACAACUG